CAGCCGCCGCGGUAAUACAGAGGGUGCAAGCGUUAAUCGGAAUUACUGGGCGUAAAGCGCGCGUAGGUGGUUUGUUAAGUUGGAUGUGAAAUCCCCGGGCUCAACCUGGGAACUGCAUCCAAAACUGGCAAGCUAGAGUAUGGUAGAGGGUGGUGGAAUUUCCUGUGUAGCGGUGAAAUGCGUAGAUAUAGGAAGGAACACCAGUGGCGAAGGCGACCACCUGGACUGAUACUGACACUGAGGUGCGAAAGCGUGGGGAGCAAACAGGAUUAGAUACCCCGUAGUCCCUGUCUCUUAUACC
rnacentral:rRNA from 1 species